rnacentral:rRNA from 1 species
UACGUAGGUGGCAAGCGUUAUCCGGAUUUACUGGGUGUAAAGGGCGUGUAGGCGGGACUGCAAGUCAGAUGUGAAACCCAUGGGCUCAACCCAUGGCCUGCAUUUGAAACUGUAGUUCUUGAGUGAUGGAGAGGCAGGCGGAAUUCCGUGUGUAGCGGUGAAAUGCGUAGAUAUACGGAGGAACACCAGUGGCGAAGGCGGCCUGCUGGACAUUGACUGACGCUGAGGCGCGAAAGCGUGGGGAGCAAACAGG